AGUGAAUAGAUACCCUGGUAGUCCAGGGUGUAAACGCUGCGGGCUUGGUGUUGGGGUCCUUUGAGGGCGCCCAGUGCCGGAGAGAAAGUUGUUAAGCCUGCUGCUUGGGGAGUACGUCCGCAAGGAUGAAACUUAAAGGAAUUGGCGGGGGAGCACCGCAACGGGAGGAGCGUGCGGUUCAAUUGGAUUCAACGCCGGACAACUCACCAGGAGCGACGGUUACAUGAAGGCCAGGCUGAUGACCUUGCCUGAUUUUCCGAGAGGUGGUGCAUGGCCGUCGUCAGUUCGUACCGUAAGGCGUUCUCUUAAGUGAGAUAACGAACGAGACCCUCACCGCUAAUUGCUAGUGUUCUCUCCGGAGGGCACGCACAUUAACGGGACCGCUGUCGCUAAGACAGAGGAAGGAGAGGUCAACGGUAGGUCCGUAUGCCCCGAAUCUCCUGGGCUACACGCGCGCUACAAAGGUUGGGACAAUGGCUCCGACAUCGAAAGGUGAAGGCAAUCUCGAAACCCAAUCGUAGUUCGGAUUGA
rnacentral:rRNA from 1 species